rnacentral:rRNA from 1 species
GAUGAACGCUAGCGGCAGGCCUAACACAUGCAAGUCGAGGGGCAUCACGGAUUGCUUGCAAUCUGGUGGCGACCGGCGCACGGGUGCGUAACGCGUAUACAACCUACCUUUUGGAGGGGAAUAGCCCAGAGAAAUUUGGAUUAAUACCCCAUAGUAUAUAGGAAUCUCCUGAUUUUUAUAUUAAACAUUUAUGGCCAUUAGAUGGGUAUGCGUCCUAUUAGCUAGUUGGUGUGGUAACGGCACACCAAGGCUACGAUAGGUAGGGGUCCUGAGAGGGAGAUCCCCACACUGGUACUGAGACACGGACCAGACUCCUACGGGAGGCAGCAGUGAGGAAUAUUGGACAAUGGGCGGGAGCCUGAUCCAGCCAUGCCACGUGCAGGAAGACUGCCCUAUGGGUUGUAAACUGCUUUUACAGAGGAAGAACCACCCCCACGUGUGGGGGUUCGACGGUACUCUGCGAAUAAGGAUCGGCUAACUCCGUG